GUGUGUGUGUGUGUGUGUGUGUGUGUGUGUAUAUAAUGCACACUACAUAAACACACUGCAUUAUAUACACACACUAUACAAACUCACUG